AUUGGCGUGAGGCGCUUUCCGCUUCCGGGUGCCGGUCGCACGCGUGGGGUGCGGCUCCUCCUUGCCGGGCCCUGCGCCAUCGCCGGGAUGGACGGGCCGCGCUUCCCUCCCGCGCCCGCACCGCCGGCUCCGCGGGGAGGGGCCCCUCGAAGACCCCCGGGCCGUGUCGGCGCCUCCGGCCUUCGAGCGGGGUCUCGGUUUUAUCCCGCCGGCGCUUUGGUGGUGCAGGCGGUGGUGGAGCUCCCUCGGGCUGGGUCUGUCUAGGGAUCGAGGGGAGUCCGUGGAGAAGGGGCCGAUGGAGCCGGGCUGCGCUGGGGGAUAGCGGCUGUGCGAGGUGAAGGCAGCGGGCGGCCGCUCUCGGACAGUGCAGGCGGCCGGGGCUGGAUGUGGGCAGCUGGCAACGUGCUGCAUGGGUCUGUCGCCUUCCUGGCUUUGGCUGUGUCUGGGCACCGAUUUGAUUGCGUUCAGUUGCCCGGGUUUGGUUGAUUUUUGAUGGGAUAAAGCAGGCGGUUUGUCCCUAAGAAACUAGCGGUGCUUUGCAUGCUCGAAUUUGGUGCUGAGAGGGGAGACUCGAGUAGUUUUGCACAGCUUGACCUGUCACCCGAGCAGCUGGCAGGGGUGGCAGCGGGAUGGAAAAACGGGAGCUAGUUUGGGCUGGCUGCCUGCUCAAAAGGAUGGUUCAGUCGGUGCUGGAGCAAAGGCAGGACUGCCUGGUGUUAGCCAGAGAAGUGCUGGAUUGGAACGUGUCCUGCAGACGGCCGCCUGUGCAGCCAGCUUUGCUCGGCCUCCUGGGCAGAUGCCCUAUUCUUUCCAAGAACUUGGCGCAGAGCGUGGCGGUCUCCUAAAGCAGCAGGGCCUAUCCUAUAAUGAUUUAAAUCAUCUGUUCAGAAGAAAUAUUAAUGGGAUUCCCAUAAGACUCCUGACAUUUUGCUGAUGUUCCUGUUAGAAGACUUAUCACCUCAUUUUGAAAACACUUGUAAAAGCACAAGUGUUCUAACUGCAGGGCUUAAAUGCUCAGUCAUUCCUAAACUGGUUUAACUUCAGGCAUUCUGCUGCAGAAACAGAAUUUUCAUGUAUAAAUUUGUGGUUUGUUCUCACAUGGUGUACAAGGAGGUGGGCAUCCAAGAAUGAUACUGUCAGCAAAAAGGUUUUUAUUUGUUUUUAAAAAGGGGAGGGCUAAGUUAGGUAGUGAGAAAGAAAAGUCUUAUUGCAGCUUAUCAGAACAGGACACGUCUUCAUGUUCAAGUCUGAUAUCUCUCUGUCAUUCUGAGUUGUGAUAGUGACUGAAAAUGAAGUCCCUUGUUGUGCCCUAACAAUUGAGUUCUAUUUAGGUGGGGGUUUUUUGUUUAUUGAAAUUUUUAAGUGGUAUAGCUUGAGCUCCAGCUCUUUUGCAUGCCAGGUAAAUAAUCUCAGUGUACCAUCACAGUAACAUCUGGCAGCACCAACAUAUCCUCAGUUUUGAGAGCAUUAUGAAUGCUUAAAAUGUACUUACAAUUCUGAGCUGAAAACACAUCUGUGAAAGGUUCCUGGUUAUUUUGGAAAUCUGCUAGUUUUAAAAAGUUGUGCAACAAACAGCCAAAACAUAGAAAUGCUGUGUGGGUUUUACAGGGAAAAUUAACAUUUUUGGAAUCUGAACUGCACCUAACUUCUUAUUUUGGAUCUAACCUGGAGAUCUGGAAGUAAGUUUGUGUCUGAACUGGAUAGGUAAUUAAAGGAUUUAUGGCAUAUUUCUAAGAGGGUGUUUGCAUUAGCUUUAUAAUGCAAUAUUCCAUUUCAUAAAUGAGAGAAGUGAAGGGUAUUUACAAAAUUACCUGUAUCAAUUUAACUGAUGGGGAUAAACAUGACCUAAGGCUUUUUUUUAAUUUAAACCAUGUAAAGAUAGCUUUGAUAGAGAGGCGUCAUGGUAAUCAUCCAAGGAGAAAUGUCUGAGCCCCACAUUUAACAAAUAGAAUGGAAGGUCAUGUUGAGGCUUGAGUGUGUACUACCUUCAAAUGAGGCACUCUUUAGACCAUUUACUUCUUAAUGAUGCUGAUAUCACUGUUUGUCUCUUUUCACUGAGCUUUGUGAGGUGUAGCACUGUCCUGAAGCAAGGACUAGUAUGACCUCUGUAAUAGAGGAGCAGAUUUAUUCUUUGGGAUAAGCAAGCUGCUUGCAAGCUUCUGGCAUAUGAAAAUCUGUUAGAUCCUUGUUUCUGAUUUGCAGAUGGUAGUGGUUCUUUAGUCUUUCAGUAUUAGAGAGGAAGGAUCUAUUUCAUGCAGAACUGAAAAAUACUGCUUCUAAUGAGAACACCUCUUGCCUCUUUUCAUCCAGGAGGUAGGAGUGGUAAAAUCUUUGACGGGCCUUAGAAAAAGACUGGGCAAGCUCAAGAAAAAAAUUGAUCUGCUAAAUGUAAAGACACAGUUAUGGUAUCAAGUCCUGAGCCAUAGAAGGCUGGGGAGUGGGAUUGUGGAUUGUAACUAUAUGCACGUCCUGUUCUUUGCUUCCUGUGCGCUCACUUCUGUCCAGUGUCACAGAAAAAGUGCUGGAAGUGUCUCGGCCUUUAGUAAGGCUGGGAAAACUCCAGGGCAGUGAGUGUAAGAUUCUUGUGCCCCAGUUGAGGUCUGCUGGCACACUCUGUCACAGCAGGGGUGACAGGGGCACUUUCAUUGGCUCAGUUUAUUUUACAAAUGUGCAGGUGCAGUGAGGCACAAGAGCAUCUGCGAUUAUCAUGUAUGUCGUGACCACGAGGGGGCCCUGGCAGCUUGGGUCUGGGUGAGCCUGGAGUUACACACUGCUACAAGGGCAGGGCUGAUUUCUUGGGGCCUCAGUGGUAACAUCCCUUCUUGUUCAGCACUUCUGAAUUACCUUACCUCUUCUAUAUAUAUAUCUUUUUUUUUAAUUAGAGUAUUUUUCAUAUGUAAUUUUAAGAAAUGCAUCUUCUUACAAAACCUCACCUCAGCUGUAAUAAAUAGCACUGGCCAUUUGAUUUUCUCAUCUGUAUGAGCCAUUUCCCCAAGUAAAAAUCUAAGAGUUUUGCACACAUCACUGUAUUUGUAAAGUAGAAGGAAUUGGUAUAAAGAAUCUUAAGGUGUUUUGUAUAUCUUAAAGAGUUUUUAAGCUUGGUACUACAAUAUUUCAAUAAAGAUUCUUUCUCUGCA